rnacentral:rRNA from 1 species
CCCUUAGAUGUUCUGGGCCGCACGCGCGCUACACUGAUGCAUUCAACGAGGCUAAAACCUGCUCUGAUAGGGGUGGGUAAUCUUUUGAAUGUGCAUCGUGAUUGGGAUAGAUGAUUGCAAUUUUUCAUCUUCAACGAGGAAUGCCUAGUAAACGCAAGUCAUCAGCUUGCAUUGAUUACGUCCCUGCCCUUUGUACACACCGCCCGUCGCUCCUACCGAUUGAAUGAUCCGAUGAAUAUCAUGGAUUGAGGAUGCAAGUAGGUUCGCCUAUCUUCAUCUUCGAGAAGUGAAGUAAAUCUUAUCAUUUAGAGGAAGGAGAAGUCGUAACA